CGGUUUGGUUGUUAAGGAAGGUUGUAAAAUUACCAUUUCAGACCCGCUUCGUUUAAUGCAACUUUUUACUUCAACGGCGUGAUGAAGGGCUAGAGCGUAAUCUGCCACCGAAAAUUAAAAUAAAACGUUGGUUUUUUAUGGAUAUUUGUGAAAAGUUUAUGAACGUUUUAUUAUUUUCUUACAUUAGGGAAAUCUUGUUUUUUUUUUUUUUUUUUUUGUAUUUUCUAUAGAUUUUUCCACGAAAAUAUCAAUUUAUCUUUUAUAUUAAACUUAAAAAUAUGGAUGAAAAUAUGAAAAUGUCAAUAGAAAUUUAAUAUUAUGGGCUUAGCUUAGGUUUCAAUUUCUCGAGUAAAAAAAUCAUGUUUUUCUCAUUAAUAUAAAAUCUAUACCUUUUUAACCAUUUUUUUUUUUAAUUUUCACCAACCUUUUAUAGUGGUUAAGCAAAUACUUUUAAUUUCGUUCUCAAUUUUUUAACCUAAAGCAACGAGUCUCACUCUUUGUUCAUUGUUCAUUAGAAAAUCAGAAACGUACCUACAUAAGUAAAAGAAUCACGGUUAAAGAUUAAGGACAACACAUUACUAAGACCACCCAGGUUAAAAUAACAACUUUUCAAGGAAUUACUACUACCCUCCCUUAAGAAUUGGAUGUUCAAAAUGUUCAGAUCAAUGACAUAUAAUGCAUACAAUAAAUGAGAGAGAAAGAAGAGCUGAUGUACUAAAACAAAUAGAAUAAAUUAUCUGCUUCUUCAGGAACAUCAAUAUGCACUCUCACUAACAACAGGAUGUACAAUUGACUAUAUGUGUAAAAAGCUGAACUGAACAAACCCAGGUUUGUAUAAAUCAAAUCCCAUAAGUUAAAAAGAAGAAAAUAGAAGGGUAACCGUAAUCUAACUCCUUAAUCCUUCCUUACCAGUAAUAGCCACUUUUCAUCUAUGACACGAACCGAUGCAGAAGCUAUGUACAUGAUUUAAUGCUUGAGAUCGAACUCGGUGAAGAAUUCAUGUUAAGAUCAAACCAACAUCAAUCUUUGACAGUCACCUUCUUGUUUUUGUUUCGGUUGCUUGUAUUUGCUGUGGUGGUGGCUGUGAUCCCCCACCAAGUGCAGCGGCUGCAGACUCGACGUGCAUGAGAAGAUAUUCAUAGAUCUUCUUCCUCAGCCUGUCGAUUGUUUCAGUUGAAAUGUGAGUGGUGUCUCCUUCGUCCUUGUUAGAAGCUAUGCCAUCUAACCAGUCGUUUACACUCUUCAGCUGUGUCAAUAUUCCUGCUAAUUGUCCAUUAUCUGACAAGGCUGCGGUGUCGACCCCGGCAUCCAAAAACCUUUCCAUGAAUGUCAAGAACCAGUCCUGGGAUUGCAGCCGUAACAUCUCGGCCAAGUCGACUGCUUCGUUGAGGCCGUUUCCUCUGAUCCAUUCUGGUGGAGGUUGGGGCUGCACCUUCUGACCGAGUGUCGCUCCGUCCUUCGUUCGACUUGGAUUUCCUGAUCCAAUAGGUUUAGAGCUUAUCAUUUGGCGGAUUUUCCCUUGGGAUUUUGACGAGCUGUUCUUAGAUGAGUUUUCUAAAACCACAAUAGGCUGAUUUGCAGAAGCACUCUUUUGGUUUUGAGAUAGAGAUAAGGGCAGGUUUAGAGCCGAGGGUGGAUCACGGCUGUAUACUGCAAAAGAUGAAAGGUUAGUGGCUAAAGCCGCCUGGACCCAAGCAGAUGCCUGUUUUCUCGCCAUUGAUGUGACCUUCAAUGUUUCUUCUGAAGCGGUUUCUUCGCUCUCAUUGGUUGAACCAGAGAGACAAGUUUUCGAAAGAGAUUCAGCUACCAUGUGAGCAUUGGUAAGGCUCGCAUGAAGGGUCAAAAACUGUUCUACUGCAGGCUGUGGAUUGUCUUCUUUGGCAGCAGUAUUUAACUCGGAAAAUAUACUGCAAAAGAAAGAACGUAAGCCAACAGAAGAGUGUUCCAACAAAAUAAAAUAAAAUAAAACUGAACACAGCUGAAAUCAUGGAGAAAACUUAAGAUAAAAUCAGUGGGAAAGUAUCUAAUUUUCAAGCACCUGACUAAUUGCUUACAAUCAGACCCAUCCAUCUACCGGAACUUUUCUUCUUAUUGAAAAAAUACAAGGAGAUGGACACAUACAACAUGUCCGGCCAAGAAACCGAGCAUGCAUUGAAAAGAAGUUCUUAAGUUAAACCAUAUGACAAUGCUCAGCAUCUGGAUGUGACUUUUUUACCAAUACUUAUCUACUUCCUUCCCCCCCCCAAAAAAAAAAUAAUUAGGAAUUGUUAGUGCUAUAACUUGGGACAUGCUCUUUGGGUCAGAACUUGAAAGUUAUUGACGCAUUGCUCUAACUAUGAAAUUUAAUCAGAGACCAAAGACCAAACAACUUCAGAUCAACAUAACCAUGUAGUUGGUAAAAAUGAUAUUUAGGAGCCUUUGGCCCCAGCCAGCAUUCACCACCCCACUAUUGUUGCCAUCGGCAUUGCUAACUGACAGUGGUUGCUUCCACCUUCUGACAACUAAUUAUAAAGAAAUAUCUUUCCAUAGUUUUCCACAUCCAUUUCUUGGGUAAAGAAAGUAAAAAUUACACACAAUUUCCAUCCAUUUCUAGUGGAAGUAUUUCCAAUAUUAAAAAAAUUGACAUUUAGAUAUCAGUAUACAAUCAGAAUAGAAAAAAUUGAAAAGCGUAAGACAAAAUAAAAUUUUAAAGCUUUUGUAACCACUAACCAUAUAAGACUCCUUUGAAUUUAUUCAUUAGUAUUACUAACCAGAUAGAACUCCUUUGAAUUUAAUCAGUCAUUCAUUAUUGUUAUAAUUAUUUUUAAGAAACCGACUUUCAUGGAGAGAAAUAAAAGAAUAUAUGAGGACAUACAAAAAACAAGUCCAGAAAAGGGGUCCACAUACUAAUUACAGAAACGGACUCCAAACCAAGAAGAUCAAAGCAAGUUCAUAAUUAAUAAAAUGUUGGGUAAUAGACACCCAUAAUGAUGCAUCCUAUGGGACUGAAAGUAAUUUUUAAGACAGGAAACCAAGUCAAAGUUAAUUGCAAUUCACGCUUAAUAUGUCCAAACAAGAAAUAAGUCCAACUUCAGUCACCAGAAAGAUAUUGCGGUUAAUUUCAUGUAUUUUCGUGCCUCAUUCUAUAAAAAACAAAUAUUUACUCUUAAAAAUGAAGUAAUGGGGAGAAGAACCAUACAGACUCAUUAGAGCAAGAGCUCCAACUGAAGGUGAAAAAAAAACUAUAUUACCCAAAAGCUCUCUAUAAACGCUGGUAAGUUCUUCAAAUCCUUUCUAACCAAACGUCCUAUAAAUACCACUGCAGCUUUCAGCAAAAGAACUUUAGCUUGCAUUUCUACAAUAGAACUACAGAUCAGAAAGAGAUACAAGUCUUGCACUGGGUAAGCUUUCAUACCUUAAACAUCGUAGACAGCUCUCUGCCACUGAAGCUUCUUGAAUGGCCUCUAUUGCUGCUGCUUGUGCAGCAUCUCUGUGUCUCAUUACUUCCUAUAGCGGCAGAUACAGAAGAACAAUGGGACGGAAUAAGACAAACAGAAGACAUAAAGUAACACUUGCCAAUACUUUGAAAUGCAAAAGGAGAUCCUCCCCCUCCUCCUUCUUCUACUAUUUUUCAUUUUUUUCUUGUAUAAGAAACUAAGUUUUCAUUAAGAGAAAUGAGAGGAUUUUUCUAGAUUCUGAAAUAAUGGUUGCGCUAUAUUGCAGAAAUGUUUCUAGUUGCAAUUUGUACUAAGUUGCUUAUACAUUGCCAUACUCCUCUACUAGGGGUGUCAUUGGAUAUAGAGGAGCUUUAAAUUUCAGACAUGGCUUUUGUGCUUAAUUUAUUGACACUUUCAAUUUUAAGAAAGAAAGGGAAAAUAUGCUGCAGCAUCAACAAUGUGCAAUAGAGUCAAAAUUUUGAGAAAAUAAGUGAUUAAUACAAAAAGAGAAUAAAUAAAGCUCAUAUAAACUCCCAAAACUAUCUAUUUGGCAGAAGAGUAACUACCAGUUAAACGAGAUAUAUUUGGUUAUCAAAUAUCAGAUCAAAGGUUCCAUACCUUUCCAAGCUUGGCGAGAGAUGAUGGAAGCGAAGCCCAUGAAACACUCCCUUCAUUCAAUCUUUUAUUACUAAGAGGAAUCUUCACCAAGUUUCCGGGGAAUCCAGCUGCAUCACUUGAGGAGGAUUUCCUUCCACUAGAAGAUUUUUGUCUGCUUGACCUUUCCUGAUUAUCUAAUUCUCCAUUAAUGGCAUUCUUCUUUGAAGACGCCUGCACGCUAUGAUCAUCUUUGGAUGUCUUUCCAGGUACCUGAAUCCUACUCUCCUCUCUUGAUGGCAACUUGUCACUUGAUGUACUUCUUCUAGGAGUCUGAAAAAUAUAAAUAAGUUAUUGACAUACAUAAGAGAAAGGAGAAUAGGUUGAGAGGUAAACUCUGGUGAACAAAUUAACAGUAGGACCGGUCCAACAAAGUAAUAUGUUCAUUUGCUCUUUAUAGAAGAAAUACAAUACUAUACAAAAAAGAACAAUAAGGCAGUAGAUUUAGUAGGAUCUUUUAAGCUCAUCCACGUUAAGGAUUUGAAUUACACGCAUCAUUUUGCUAUUCAAAUACCUCAAAGGGGAUUCAUGGUUACAACUUACAAGCAUAAAUGUAUGUAUAUGACAUUUUAGCAGGACAAAUAAAUAUUUGCCACGUAAAUACAAAUCAAAUCCGGAACAUACGAUCAUAUUGGGAAUGAUAAAACUUACAGUAACCCGAGCUUCAGGCUUGGGAUCAAGUUUGCUUGCUCUUAACAUUGAAUUAUCUCUUCUUUUUGUCUCCAUAUUCCCUUCCCAACUCUUCCUCAGAGCCUUGGCCCCAACCUCAAUGCCCUGAACUAAAUGUUUGAUCUGAUGUCCCACUCCCAUCUUCUUGGUUACAGGACUGGCUGAACGAACAGGAUUCGACUUUUCAACUGCUCCUAACUUGGUUGUUCCAUUAGACAAUGCCUUAACCUUCCCCUGCUGCUUAAUGCUAUUGGCAAACUUCUCAAAUGAAGAAGGCAACGAAUAACAGCUCGUUGGAGAUGAGGGUAUCGACCGUGAAUUCAAUGACUUUAGUCUCGUCAGAGGCUCCUUCUUCACAUCUACAUUCACUGUCAAUUUUGACAUCUGAGACUUGGAUCUACUCAAGGGAGAGGCUCUCUUAUCAAUCUUAUCCUCCUUGACAUUGCCAUUGAGUCUCACAGGCGCAGAUUUCUCCUUCUCCCCACCAAUGCCAAGGCCUAAAACUUUUGGGGUCGGCUUCAAUUUGUCCAAAGAUUUUAAAUUAGGAUUAUUGUUGAGAAACCCAGGAGAAUGAGUAGCAACAAUAUCUUCAGGGCUCCCCACACAAGGGUGUCGACCGGGCACCGGUCGAACUCCGUGAAGAAUGGGGACUGGGGAAGCAGCCUCAAGCCGUUCGACAUGAAUAAACUGACCCAAUUGAAUCUUGUCACUAAGAAUCAGAUCACCAUGUUCAUCAGGGAGUGAGACAUAUGUAGCAUGAGAAGAAUCAGAGACUUUGAGAUAAAAACCUUGAUUCGGUGAGAGAUCGCCCCCGGCCAAUGCCGGAACUAUGCUCACAACUUGUAACAGUGUCGACCUGUGCUCUCCAGCAACUUUCACAUCAGUGUUCAUGUGCUGCAGCAGUUUGAGAAGCACUCCAGGAACAAGAUUCGCCAUUGUUGGACACCUUCAGAAGGCAUCACUCUGAAAACCAAGCAGUAUUUAAAGAAGACCCCAGAAAUCUCAACCCUUUCUUCAAGAAAAAUGAAGAAGAGAGAGAAAGAAGGAAGAGUUUCUUCUACCAACGGCAAUGGCGAAAUGUGGGGAUCCAAAUCAAAAUAAGGAGAAAUUGCAAAAAUAGAAAAAUGGGGGAUACCCUUUAAACCCAGAUUAAAAUCUUUACCAAAUAUAAAUUCAAUCAAACAAAACUCCAGCAAGGAAAAUGCAUAGUACAGGAUUCAGAUUUGGUAGUUUUCACCAAUUGCUACCUCAAAAAUGAACACACAGUUCAUUUCAAAUCAGGAGAAAAACAAGAAAACCCCAAACGAGAUUCCUCUUAGAAGAAAAAAUGAUUCUCAAAAAUCGAUGAAGAAGCAAUAGAAAGAAAGAGGGGUACAGCUAUGAAUAGAACAGGGAAAAACAAGAAAACUCACCAACCCAGAUGAGAAAAUGACUUACACAUACAAACCCAUUAACAUUUUACACUAAAAGACACAAACAAAUACUCCACUUCUCUGCAAAAACACCAUGGAAAAGGGAAAAAAAAAAAAAAAAAAAGCAAAAGAAAAAUUGGGAAUUUCUUGAGGAAUUUAAACCCCCCUUUUUUAAAAAAAGAACAAGAGUAGCUGUGUGAAGAGGUUUAGACAAAGAACAUGGGGUGUAGGGAUGGUGAGAAAUUGAGAAAUGAAAUGGAAAUGGAAAAUCUUACAGAGAAAUCAGAAAAGUAGAGAAAGAAUAAAUGAUAGCAGGCUCAAUACAUGAUUAAGUAGAGAAGCUGUCAGUGUCUGACACCCACCAUAUACAUACAAAUUACAACAUGCAAAGUAUAAAGAUUUUACACAAAUGUUAAUCUGACCCAUUAUUGUUUUCUUCCCUUCCAUUUCUAAUGGGGGAAAUCUUAUUUUUCAAUUUUCUUCACAAAUUUGGUGUCUAAAGUUGAGUACUUACAACAUUAGUAUCCAUUUUAGCCUAGCUUCAGUUUGAUUUAGUAAUCUCAAAUCAUUUUAAAAUAGAUAGUUUUUGGCAAUGUAAAUAUAGUUCUACCGAUAAAGUAUUAAAUAUCGUCUUAAUUAUCUAAGAUUUUAUCUUUUACUUCGUGAUUAUUAAACUAAAAAGAAAGAUAGCUUUGUUUAGAAAAUGUAAGUGUCAAAUUAAUCUAUAAAGGACUAACGAUUUUAUAAGUUAAAAGAUAUAAAGUCUCUCCUCCAAUAUAAACUCCUAUAUUAUAUGUUUGAUAAAUCUCCCACUAUUAAUGUUAUAUUUUUAUUAUUGAAGAAAAAGUAUUUAACAAGUUUCGAAUUAAAUUUUAUAUAGAAUACAUACUAGAAAUAUAAAAGGAGUAUAACGAGUAUAAUAAGUUGUUGAAAUUUAAAAAGAGUAUAAUAUGUUUUUUUUUUUUACAUCUAAACAUCUCGCCUAUUCAAUAUACAAACUAUUAAACAUUAUAAUCUAUUAAAUAUACAUUUCAACCAACACUUAAAAUAAAUAAAAAGAAAAUCUCAUACGUAGGAAAAAGAAGUGAAACUAUUUUAAAAUUAUAGCAAAAGAAAAUACUUAAACGAAACACUCGAUCACACUCGUCUGGCUCUACAAUCAAUUGAACUUAUAAUCUUUUAUUUAUUAUUAAGACUACGUCUCCUUUUUUACCAUUGGGUCAAACCAUGAUAUGAUAGUAGUUGUACGAUAUUUAUCAAAAAAGUUAUUUAGUUUAGUGGUUGUUAGUAUAUAUAUAUAUGUGUGUGUAUAUCAUAAAUGGACUUUUCAAUGGUCUAUUAUUAGUACAAAUAAGACUUACUAAUGAAAUAAUAAACAUAAAAAGUAGUUGAUGACGUAGAAAGGAAAGAACCUAACAUUGAUAGGGAGAAAAAAAAAUCGUUUGCUACACUGCAACAACUUUGACUUUAGAUGUUAGUUUUGACCUGAAAUCGUUAUGGAUUACAAAUUCACAUCGUAUAAUACAAUUUCAAAGGAUCUUUGAUGACAGUUUUAAACCACCAUCGAGAUUUUCAACAUUAUAUAAAUAACGGUUGUGUAUGAUAAUGCUGUUAUUAUUGAUACUUCAACUUCUAAAUUAAACAUAUGCUCUUAAUUUCUGUUUUAAGUGCCAAAGAGAAAAAAAAGCUCAAACAUACUAUUCUUACCUAAACACUUGACAACAAAUUGUUACCUAUCAAUUAAUCACUUUUCUUACACUUUAACAUUAAAUGUUACCCAUAAGAUUGUGUAAAAAAAAGAAUAAUGGAAGAGGGAGAAAGGGAUUAUUCCUUUGGACAACUUAACCUAAAUUAGGUCUUUCUAAAUUAUUGUAUUUAAAUUAACUUUUUUUUCUCCUUUUUGUUGGAUAUUCUUAAAUUAUAAUCUUUUUUUUUUUUAAUCUUAACACACAAUCAAUAAAAUUGAUUAUACUCAAAUCAUUAUUCUCUCUUUUACCUAUUAAACAUCAAUCAAUUAAUAACUUGAAGUUUAAAAUUUUCUUACUAAUUCUACAAUAUUCUAUAAAUAUAUCUCAAUGUUUAAUCUUAAUUCUAAAUGGAAUUGAUUUUUUCAAAAGAAAGAGAAUUGAUUUAAUGCUAAUUGUUAUAAAUUUCUUGAAAAUCAAUUAUUAGCAAUUAUUUAUUUAUUUACCAAAUAUAUUGUCCACCAAUAAUAAUCUCUUGAGAUUGUAGUAGUUUAAAUGUCAACUUUCAAAACAAAUAUAAAUCCAAAUUCUUAGCAUAAUUAUUAACCAAAAAUGAAUGAUUAGAAAUAUAUUAUUAUUAUUAUUUCAAUUUCUAAUGUUUCUAAUUCUUAAAUUUUUGGAGUUCCUUAACCUCUCUUCCUCGACCACUCGACCAGAGAGGAUAACUCUUACCGACUAUAUUAAUUGUAGAGUCAUAUCCAACAAAUAUCAUAUGUAUCCUUACGAGUCGAGCGCCAAUCUUUCUAAAACUGAGAAUGUAACUCUUUUUUUUUUAAUCGUCAUAAUCUUUACCCACGAAGGAAGAUUGUGUUGUCUACUAAAAAGUUGAUUACUAUGUUGGGUGCCUUCUACUCGUAACAAGGGAAGAUUUGUUAGCUUAAUGAAGUUUUUCUUAUAUAUGUAAAAAAAAAUCUUUAUUAAAUUUGGUAUUUGUUUUCAUUUUAUCAUUAAGCGCCAAAAAUAUCUAUUCAUAGACCAAAAGAUUAAGAAAAGUAACAAAUUUUGAUUAAUGACAACGCUUUUCUAUUAAUUAUUGUUAUCAUCAAGCAAUAUAUGCUCUUAUCCUAUCAACGAAGGCAUAUGACAAAACUAUAUAGAUUUGUAGAAGUAAACAUUUUAUGAAGAUAUUAGUUGACAAAAUAGCCAUCGCCACUUAAACAAUCCUUACUACGUUCAAAUUUACUUUUUGUAUAUUAUUUCAAAUGAAGAAAAAAAAGAAAUUACUCCUUACAUUUUCCUUAAAUUUUAAAUUUCUCAAAUUUAUAUAAAAAAGUAAAUUAUAAUAUUCACACGUCCUAGAAAAAUCAAGCAUAAUAAAAUUUAUUAUUUUAGUAGUUUUUUUUUCGUGGAGUGUAAAUAGUUGUUACGAAUAAUUUAAGAUUAGUAAGAUAAAGUAGAGUGUUAUUAUUGGAAUAAUAUUUGAUUGGAUGGAGAAAAGAAAAAGGUGUGAAUGAUUAUUUAAUUGACAUUGGUAUUUGAGUAUUUUGCAUAUGGAGGCAUGUGCUAUAGUUGUUAGAGAGAAAUAGAUAAUAGGAAUAAAGAAAAGGAAAUAUUGGUGUCGGCUAAGAAGCAAAAGAGAGUCAUAUUCCCACUAUAUGUAUAUCACAUUGAGAAUUGCAUUUACAAACGCAUAUAACUAAACACACCCUUAUUCAUAUUGUUUGUAUUCAAUUGUUGUUUAUAUUAAAAUGAGUCUGAAAAAGCCAAGUGGCCAACUCAUAUGCUUCUCUUCUUCUUCUUCUUCUUCUUCUUCUUCUUCUUUAUCCUUUCACAAACUUCACUUCUUUUCUUUUAUUUGUGUAAAGGCCACAAAGGUCAUAUGCUCACCACAUCCAAACAUGUGGUGCAUCUAUUGGUGGACCCAUUCUCAACCAGCUUCUUUCACAUAAACUCUUUUCUUCUUCUUCUUCUUUUUUCUUUAACUUCUAGUUUCGGAAACGAAUUAGGAUUCGGAAUUCUAAUUUCACAGUUCACAACUAUCUAUAGUAGUUCUAUGCAACUCCUACUGACUAUGCUGUUCUUACUUGUUUUGAAUACUUUUUGUAAAAGUGAAAAUUGUUGAAUUAGGAUUUCAAGUCUUGAUUUGAAUCUUAGACAUGUGACGUUACAAAUGGUAUAACAGUGAAUCUUCUUCUAGUAAGAUGUGGUUUGGGGACGAACCAAGUAGAAGCUGAAUUUAGGAGCAAACAUAAACAAACCGAUAAUACGUUUGAAUGAGAAAGAUCAUGAGAAACAUGAAAGUAUGGUUAAGAAACACUUAAAAGAAAUAAACUAUACCAACAUGUAACUAGGUUGCACGAGAACGUUGAGUCGUCAGUUGUCGAAUUAAGAUUUUGAAUCCUAGGCCCUUUUUUACCUUCCAAUUUUAUUUAAUAUCCUUCCGUUGCAAACAAAUCUUUGGGACAACAAAAAAAGUAGGUGAAAGAGGUGUUGAGAAACGAAAUGAUGACGACAGUAAAAAAACAAAACAUAGUAAGAAUAAAGAAUACACCUUAAUAAUUCGUCUUGUAUUAUUACGUAAACUAUAUAGAAAGUUAAACGAAAGAGCAUUUAUGUUAAAAAAAAAAAACUAAACCGUAUUUGUAUUUGUAUUCGUAUUUAAAGUAAAAGAAUGUAACAUUGAAAAACGAGAAGUGAAGAAAUAAUUAAUUAAAACAAAACAUAUAUAAGCAUAAAGUGUUUCCUCUAAAAUAACAAUAACAGGAGCAAGGUCAAAGAACACAACAACAGAAAAAAAAAAGAAAAAAAGGGCAAUAAAUAUUAAGAAAACAUUGGAUUAAAAAAAUUGAUGUGACAAUGCAUCUAAAAUUUUCACAUAUUUAAACAAAUUAAAAGAACAACUCAUUAAAAGCCAUUUUGUUAAUGGCACAUCUUUAUGGUUACCACUUAAUUAACACAUUCAACACAUUAUUAAAGUGAUAUGAAAAAGUAUCGUAAGAUUUUAAUGUAAUAACUUAUUAUUCUAUAAUUAAUAAGAGUAUUUUAUUUCUAAUAAUAUAUUAGUAUUAUAUGAUACUUGAAAAAUAGGAAUAUUAAAGAGAAGUAUUAGAUGAGUUUAGAAUUAUAUAUUUUGAAUGUAAAGGAAUAUUACUCAUAAAGAAAGUAAAAAAAGAAAAUAAUUGAAAUAGAAAAGAAAAGAAAAAAAAAUGAAAAGAAAGGGUUAGUUAAGAAAAGGGACCCACUGUACUUUAAAUGUCAGGUGUAGCUGCCUCCUUCUGUGGACCCGCACACACACGAUUGAACCCUUCAUUUAUUCUAUUUUACAAUUUUACAACUUUUUCUAUUUUUCUAAUUUUAGAGAUGCACGAUUCCAAUUAUCAUUAUUAAUUCUUUUCCAACCAUUACUUUUUUCUAUCUCAUAAAUAAACAAUGUUCCAAAAAAUAACAUUCAUAAACAAUCAAUAUUAUUAUUGAGGAUUGGGCUAAAAGAAGAAAAAUAGCUAUUAUUUAUUAUUGCUUCUCUUCCUCCACAAACUUGAAAUAAAAAGGAAGUUGAUAGUUUGAACAUGAAAUUGUUUGAUUUCCAUAUUCAAAGUUGUUGAAAAAGAAGGUUCAUGUUCAUAUUGACAAGAAACACAAGUGAAACAAAUGAAACGAAGAAGGCACCGUCAAUUUUGAGGGGAAAAAAAAAUGCUAUUUUGAGGUAUUUUCUCUUCAUUUGGUGGGUGUUGUUUUAGAGUUUAGAUUGGAUUGUUACCUUUGAGACUACCUCAACAAUUUAGUUAACAAUAGAUAGAAGGAAAGCUUGGAGAAUGUUGUUAACAAUAGAUAAAUCCUUCUUUUAAAUUGAGAUCUAAAACUGAUGACUCCUACAUUCUCACUCAUAUCUAGAGGUAUUUCAACAAACUUGGUUCUCACUCACAUGUUUAUGUUUUCAAAAGAAGGUAAAAAAUAUUUGAAAAGGUGAGCAAACUAGGAUUGCUUGAAGACAAAUCCACUCAACAUUGGAGUUCCUAUUACCCAAGAGUUGCACCAUGGUCGAACGUUUAAAUCUCCCCACCAUUGGACUAAAAAAAAAAAUUGUUUCAAAAACUAAACGAGGAAUAAAAGGGUGCAUGAAGAAAUUUUCCUUUUGUUGAAGAUAUAUUUGGUGAAACAUCAACUGCAUAGAUGAAAAACUCUGACAUCCAAUCUCUACCCGAAAAUGAAGAUAGUGUGUGGAUUACUACAAGCUCAAAAAUGAAAUUUAAACAUAUGCUAAAUAGUUGGAAAAAAAAAACUAGUCCUCAUCCCUGUGAUCACGAGAAAACUUCAACCAUUCUUUCACAGAUCUUGUACACUCAAACCUGCAAAAGUUGAGAAGUAAAUGUCAGGUUUCGCUGUCAAUAUCAAUUUAUACUCGGGACCAAACCCAUCCUCAUCCCAUUUUACAAAACUUAUUGAGGAAAGGAUUAUAGAGACCUUUUUGUUGAAAAAGGUGACCAUAAACAAAAACAAAGACAGGUGUUUUUAUGUAUACAGAACCCGCCUUUCAAUGAAAAGACAUGGAAGAACACACCAUGAUCCAGAAUACUGACCCACAAAAGGUAACGCGACAGAAGGAAAGGGUGUCAGGCUGUCAGCAAAGCAGAGAAACCUAAAGAAUAAUUACGAAAGACUAGACCAAACUCACAUCUCUACAAGAUAUGAUCCAACUCUUCCUCCAAUUUCUGACGAAGGUUGAUAAAAAAACAGGGCAAUAAGAAGACAACUUCCUCGAAAGCCUAUCAAGAGCAUUAACUUUUCAACGGAUAUCCUACUAGAUAAAGAACGUGACCUUUUAGGUAUGGUCCCAUCCAAUCAAAGAUAAGAGAGCCAUGAAAUUCGUUGGUUCCCAGUUCAACAAAUUACGACCCAACCCAAGUAAAAGAGAGUAGACCACUCAGAAAACACCACAGCAAUUUAGCCAAUAGGCUUUGUUUCUAGCUUUUAAAAUAUCUAAUUCUAAACCCCAGGCUCGCUAGUUUUCCCACAUUAACUACUUGCCACAAAAAAAUCCCUCAAGAAGCAAGUCUUUUAUGCAUCGAAUCCACCACACAAGGUCCCAAGACGGGAGGUUUCUUGGGUCAUAAUCUAAGGAAAAACAAACAUGGGAGGAAGGGAGAUAACCAACCUCACAGCCCACUAGUCAGAAAUCUCUGAUCUCUAAACUCCUAAAAAGUCUAAACGUCCUCUCAAGUCAAAUCCCCCAAAGAAAGGUGCGUUUUAGGGACAAACACUCACCCAAAUGAUUUUGCCCGUCUACAGAGUCAUCGAAAGCAAUUUAUUUUUAUAGCUAAGCAGAUUGAGACUAAGUAAGUGCAACAGAGAUACGCAAAUUUUUGUCACGAAACGUAUGCGAGGAAGUAAGAUGAAAAUGCGAAGUUGUAGGAAAAAAAAUUCACUAGGGAGAGAUUAGUGAGAAGGUCUAUUAAUACUAAUAGAGAAUUUAGUAAAAGAAAAGGUGCGUUUUAGGAGAUUAAAGUCAAGUUCCUUUCAGUCAAAAUCAGAUGAUGGAAGCACAUGUGAGCGCUGAUAGUCGCCACAAACAAAAAAUGGAACACUUCUAAUCUAUCAAACCAUUUAAAAACACUUAAACAACAUACAUAGCCACUUCCAAUAUAGCGUUCCAAUGUUUGUUAUUAAGAGUGAAACCUAACCUGGUGGAAGGGAUUGCUUCAACUUGUCUGCCUUCUCAGAGUCGAAAACACAAAGAGUAUAAAGAUAUUUGGAGCAUCGAACUUUGAACUUCACAACAUCCUUGCUCCUCUUAAUUUUCACAGAACGAGCAUCCUUCCUUCUAGCAGUGAGAAGGAAAUCUUUGAUCUCAUGAAUUUGUUUCGGCUGCAAAUCCAAAUAUGGAACAAGAAGACACAAUUUGAUUAAUUUCAAAAUAACCUAAAGCAUAAGAUAUCCAAACGAGAUGAAAACAUGUACAUUACGGUUAUUAAAUCCGCAUAAACGUUUACCAACAAAAACACAAGAAACCCAUAGAAUUGCAACGAGAAUAGAAAAUUAAAUGAUGAUAUGCACCCUCACAACGUUCAACUAAAUAGAACAGAAGCUAAUUCAGGGCAGAUAAAAAAUCGGCGACAGCAAACAUAAGAAUUCAAAAGUAGGUUGAAUCCGAAAUGCAUUAAGAAAAUGAACAAUAGAAAAAAAAUUCAAUCAAGGAUUAGAAAUUGAGAGGUACCAUUUUGGUGGCAGAACAGAGACUGCCGCGUAGUUGCUGAUUAUGGAGGGUCAAAACCCUAACUUUGAAAGUUGUUAUUUAUGUAGGGAUUCAAUGGGAAACGAAGAAGAAGAUGAAGCUGGCUUGUUCCGAACCCUAGAUGGGCCGAGAAUUCAAUUAAGCCCAAUCUAAGAAGGCCCAUUUACCCAUUUUAUUGAAAAGAAACACGAAAUUAAAUAAACUUAAUUGUUAUCAUAAAAAAUAGUUAAAUAAUACAUAAUGAACGACGUCGUUCAAAGGUUUGAGAACAACAUAUUAAUAAAAACCAAAUAAUAUUUCAUGUGUGUAUAUCAAAGUAAGGUUAUUAUAAAAAAAAUGUAGCUAAUAAAUACACUUGUUUUUCAUAUAUUUUGUGAAAUCUUCUACUUGUUCUUUAUUUUCUAUAUGUCAUCUCUUAGUUUUUUCCUCACAGAGUAAUUUAAAAUUUAAUGUUACGUUCAAUUUUGUUAAAAUAAUUUUCCUCUACCUUUUUUUCUCUAAUACCCUAUACAUUUUAUAAAAUAUAAACGUUAUAUUUUAUUUUACUCAAUAACAAUUAAAAUUAUAAAGGAAAAUAUGUCAUUAUCUUUAUCUCUGUUAUUACUCUUAAACUUUUUGUCCAAUAUAUUUUAAUAUAUAUACAUGAAAAAUGAAUUUCGUGUUUCAAAUACUAAUUAACAAAUAAAACACACAAAAGAUCAUUAUUCUUCUAUGUAACAAUUUAGGCAAUCAUUUAAUUAGGUCCUCCUUAACGUAAUAAACAAGGAAAUGUUUCAUUUUUGCUUCAGUUCAUUAGAAUUCCUUUUGAUAACCAUGGUUUUGGUUAAUAUGUUGAGAUCGUUGUAACACAUCCGUUAGCUGUUUUGGACGAGAUUCAAGAUGGUGCUCAAGAACUGGUGUGUGUUCAAGAAAUCAACAUCAAAAUCCAUUUACAUUAAACAAAGACAAGCAUUGAGGAGGAUAAGAGAUUUGCAAUAAGGUUACUCAAGGCCUAGCCAAAUCAAUCAAAAUCUUGAUAAUUUUCAAAUAAAAGCUUGGGUAGCCAUGAUUUUAGUGAAACAUCAACCCAUGUAAUAAACCCAGCAUAAG
rnacentral:lncRNA from 1 species